CCUACGGGGGGCUGCAGUGGGGAAUAUUGGACAAUGGGGGCAACCCUGAUCCAGCCAUGCCGCGUGUGUGAAGAAGGCCCUCGGGUUGUAAAGCACUGUCAGUGAGGAAGAACGCCUGGUGGUUAAUACCCUGCAGGAAAGACAUCACUCACAGAAGAAGCACCGGCUAACUCCGUGCCAGCAGCCGCGGUAAUACGGAGGGUGCGAGCGUUAAUCGGAAUUACUGGGCGUAAAGCGCGCGUAGGUGGCUUGAUAAGCCGGUUGUGAAAGCCCCGGGCUCAACCUGGGAACGGCAUCCGGAACUGGCAGGCUAGAGUGCAGAAGAGGAAGGUAGAAUUCCAGGUGUAGCGGUGAAAUGCGUAGAGAUCGGGAGGAAUACCAGUGGCGAAGGCGGCCUUCUGGACCGAAACUGACACUGAGGUGCGAAAGCGUGGGUAGCAAACAGGAUUAGAUACCCUAGUAGUC
rnacentral:rRNA from 1 species